rnacentral:rRNA from 1 species
UACAGGGGGUGCAAACGUUGCUCGGAAUUAUUGGGCGUAAAGCGCGCGUAGGCGGCUACUUAAGUCGGAUGUGAAAGCCCUUGGCUCAACUGAGGAAGUGCACCCGAAACUGAGUGGCUUGAGUACUAAAGAGGGUCGCGGAAUUCCCGGUGUAGAGGUGAAAUUCGUAGAUAUCGGGAGGAACACCGGUGGCGAAAGCGCUCUGCUGGACCUUAACUGACACUCAGGGACGAAAGCUAGGGGAGCGAAUGGG